UUAUACAUGCAAGUCGUGGGGCAGCGCAGUGUAGCAAUACAUGGGCGGCGACCGGCAAACGGGUGCGGAACACGUACGCAACCUUCCUUUAAGUGGGGGAUAGCCCAGGGAAACUUGGAUUAAUACCCCGUAAUACUAUGAAGUGGCAUCACUUUAUAAUUAUAGCUCCGGCGCUUAAAGAUGGGCGUGCGCCUGAUUAGGUAGUUGGCGGGGUAACGGCCCACCAAGCCUUCGAUCAGUAACUGGUGUGAGAGCACGACCAGUCACACGGGCACUGAGACACGGGCCCGACUCCUACGGGAGGCAGCAGUAAGGAAUAUUGGUCAAUGGACGCAAGUCUGAACCAGCCAUGCCGCGUGGAGGAUGAAGGUCCUCUGGAUUGUAAACUUCUUUUAUUUGGGAAGAAACCCACGAUUUCUAUUGUGGUUGACGGUACCAGAUGAAUAAGCACCGGCUAACUCCGUGCCAGCAGCCGCGGUAAUACGGAGGGUGCAAGCGUUAUCCGGAUUCACUGGGUUUAAAGGGUGCGUAGGCGGGCAGGUAAGUCAGUGGUGAAAUCUCCGAGCUUAACUUGGAAACUGCCGUUGAUACUAUCUGUCUUGAAUGCUGUGGAGGUAAGCGGAAUAUGUCAUGUAGCGGUGAAAUGCUUAGAUAUGACAUAGAACACCUAUUGCGAAGGCAGCUUGCUACACAGAAAUUGACGCUGAGGCACGAAAGCGUGGGGAUCAAACAGGAUUAGAUACCCUGGUAGUCCACGCCCUAAACGAUGGAUACUCGACAUCAGCGAUACACAGUUGGUGUCUGGGCGAAAGCAUUAAGUAUCCCACCUGGGAAGUACGACCGCAAGGUUGAAACUCAAAGGAAUUGACGGGGGCCCGCACAAGCGGUGGAUGAUGUGGAUUAAUUCGAUGCAACGCGAAAAACCUUACCUACGCUUGACAUGUCCGAGAUCCCGAAGAGAUUUGGGAGUGCUCGAAAGAGAAUCGGAACACAGGUGCUGCAUGGCUGUCGUCAGCUCGUGUCGUGAGAUGUUGGGUUAAGUCCCGCAACGAGCGCAACCCUUGUCAUUAGUUGCUACAUUUAGUUGGGCACUCUAAUGAGACUGCCGGUGACAAACCGGAGGAAGGUGGGGAUGACGUCAAGUCCUCAUGGCCCUUAUGCGUAGGGCUUCACACGUCAUACRAUGGUCGGUACAGAGGGUCGCCAACCCGCGAGGGGGAGCCAAUCUCAGAAAGCCG
rnacentral:rRNA from 1 species